AAUUAUCACAAGAAAUAGUUAACAAGUUAGUUAAUAAGUGAAGUUUUGUGUGCUUGGUUUGUGCUGUCACAGUGGUGUAUAAAUGUGCUUUCUAGUCUAUUUUACGGAGAGAUAGAAAAGUAUUAUUCAAGUUCAUAUUUGUUCUUUCAUAGUUCUUUAAACUUCAAUAAAACACGUCUUCUCUCUUCUUUUUCAAUUCUAUUUUUCUGCUCUGAGUUGACAGAUUCUAUUAGUGGUUUUUCUGCUACUAGUAUCAUAGUUAUUUCUAUAUGGUAUCAAGAGCAUUUGGUUCUUGAACUAUGGUGUCUAGAAGAUCAUCUGUUUCAAGAAUGUAUACCAUCACAAUUCGCCUCUCUUGAAGAUCAACAUAAUCGAAUUGAUUCUACUGUAUACCAACAAUGGCUUCAGAAUGAUUACAAUCUUCAGUCAUGGUUGCUGGCCUCAAUUGAUCCAAUUUUCAAAAAUAAGAUGGUAGGGUGUACGUCUAGUUAUCAAAUUUGGAAGAAAUUGAAGAAUAUUUUGCUGAAUCAAUAAGAUUUCGAGUAAAGCAGCUCAAAGCUCCAACUCAAAGCGACCAAGAAACUAGGACAAUCACCUAGUAAGUAUGUCCACAAAAUAAAGACCAUAGAAGACUCUCUUGCAGCUUUAGGAUCUCCUUUAAGAAUUGAAGAACACAAAGAAGACUUACUCGAUGGUUUGAGUGAAGAAUAUCAAAUGAUACUUACCACUGUCAGCACCAAACUUGAAUUGUACAGUCUUUGUGAAGUAGAGACUAUCAUUAUGUCCUAUGAUGAUAUGCUUGACAAAUUCAAGAACACCAACUUGUUGCCAUAGGCUCAUCUCACACAAAGCUCAUACCCUUCAAUUCCAAACCCUGCAAGAAGCUUCGGAGAAAGAAGAGGGCGUGGGGGCAGAUCCUAACAUGGAGGAAGAUCAUUCUUUCAUAACAUAUGGCCUCAAUGCCAAUGUGGUCAUUUUUGCCACAAAGCUUGGCAUUGCUUUAACAGAUUCAACUAAGAUAUUCCUCCUCCUUUCUAGAAUUUUUUAUCAUGACAACCAUCUUAAUAUGCCUCUUUUGUAUCCUCUUCAACAUAAUCUCAAAGCAACAUGUGCUCUAGUCUAUUUUACUGAGAGAUAGAAAAGUAUUAUUCAAGUUCAUAUCUGUUCUUUCAUAGUUCUAGAAUUGGACAAUCUUUCUUAUAUGCAUAUGAUUCCAAAUAAUUUUUCUCAUUACAAAAUCUAAUUCAUUCACUAGAAAUCACUAAGAAUUUGAUAAGUGUGUCCAAAUUUUCUAAGGAUAAUUGAGUUUAUUUCCAAUUUUAUGCACACAUAUGUUUUGUUAAAUGUGAAAUGACUGAUCAGAUUUUGUUACAGGGGUAUAGACAAGGAAGAAUUUACAAAUUUUACCACGUAGCAGUUCCUAGAACUUCACCUUAUUCAUUUACUCCUUGUGCCUUUACAAUUUCUUUAGCUUCUUUAGAUUUGUGGCAUAAAUGACUUGGACAUACUGCUAAGAAAACUGUAACUACUAUACUGUUCAAAUGUAAUAUUCAACUUUAUAACAAUAAUAACAAUUCAAAAUCUAAUUUGUGUGAGAAUUGUAUGCAUGCAAAAAUGCACAAAUUGUCCUUUUCGUUAUCUCUUACUUCAUAUCAUGCCCCUCUGCAAUUGGUUUUUUCUGAUGUAUGGGGCCCUACUCCUUUCACUUCUCAUCUUGGCUUUAAAUACUAUGUUACCUUUAUCGAUGCCUAUACUCAUUUUACAUACUUGUGUUUUCUCAAUAGCAAAUUUCAGGUGUUUUAUGCCUUUCAACAAUUCAAAACAUACAUGGAGACUCUUACUAAUCACAAAGUUAAGGAAUUCCAAUUGGAUAAUAGAGGUAUUGAAGUAUUGAGGCUUGACACUGGACAGCUUCACUUGUGCCAGACAAAGUACAUUAGAGAUUUGUUGUCCAAACCUGGGAUGAGUGGAACAAGCUCCAUGCCUCAUCAUUGCAAUUACUGUCAACCGGUUCAGUUCGUUUGAGGAUCCGAAAUUGUUCAGAUCAAUAGUUGGGACAUUGCAGUAUGUGACCAUAACUAGGCCUGAUUUAUGUUUUGCUAUAAGAAAAGUAAGUCAGUUUACGAAUAAUCCAUUGUUAGCUCAUUGAAAAACUGUAAAGAGAAUUUUAAGGUAUUUACAAGAAACUCAAGAUCAUGGUCUCAUCAUGCACAAGUGCAAUGAUUACAGGUUGUAUGAUUUUACCGAUUCGGAUUGGGCUGCAGAUUUAGAGGAUAGGAGGUCUGUCUCGGGCUAUUGUAUUUUGUUAGGAACCAACUUGAUUUCAUGGUCACGUAGAAAAAAAGUUACCAUCUCAAGGUCCUCAACAAAAGCUGAAUUUUUUAUGUUUAGCUGCCUGUGAAGCAGAGUUAGUUUGGAUGUAGAAUCUGCUACAAGAGUUGAGGAUUAAAUUGCCAACAGCUCCUACGAUAUUUUUUGACAACUUGAGCAUAGUUAUGCUCACUGCAAAUCCAGUUUUACAUGAUAAAACCAAACAUUUUCAGUUGAACAUUCUGUGUGUGAGAGAGAAGAUCAACAGCAACUCCUUGCAGGUUGUGCACAUCCCAGGAGUUGAACAGAUUGCUGACAUAUUCUUACUAAAUUGCUGUCAGCCUCUUCCUUUGAACGUUUAAAAAUCAAGCUCAGAGUUGUCUCAAAGACUAACUUGACCUCAAGAAGGGUGUUAAGGAAUGUGCAUUAGUUGACAGCAAGACUGAAGCUCAAGAAAAUCAAGCAUCAAUUAGCACAAAAAUUAGUUAGCAAGUUAGUUGAUAAGUGAAAUUUUGUAUGCUUGGUUUGUGUUAUCACAGUGGUGUAUAUAUGUGAUCUAAUCUAUCUUAAUUUUUCUGCUCUGAGUUAACAGAUUCUAUUGGUUGUUCUUCUGCUACUUGUAUCAUAAUUAGGGUUUCUAUAUAUACAACUAGACCAUGUUCACCUCUAAAA